AUACAGAGGGUGCGAGCGUUAAUCGGAAUUACUGGGCGUAAAGCGCGCGUAGGCGGCUUAUUAAGUCAGAUGUGAAAUCCCCGGGCUCAACCUGGGAACUGCAUCUGAUACUGGUAAGCUAGAGUUUUGGAGAGGGAAGUAGAAUUUCAGGUGUAGCGGUGAAAUGCAUAGAGAUCUGAAGGAAUACCAGUGGCGAAGGCGACUUCCUGGCCAAAAACUGACGCUGAGGUGCGAAAUCGUGGGUAGCAAACGGGAUUAGAUACCCUAGUAGUCC
rnacentral:rRNA from 1 species